ACCCGGUGGCGAACGGUCCUGGCGCUUUGGUACCACCAAAAAAAGGUAUAAUUACGCUACCGGGUAUAAAUUGACUCUGUGUACCACUGAAUCAUACUGAAUAUUUGUAAUGUGUUCCUUCCUUAAUAGAUGCUCUCUAUGAAUAGAGAGAGCGCCUAUUUACUCUGAAAUAUUUGGCACAGCGGACGGAGUCUGAAGCGUGGAAGAGGUGGCUAUUAUUUUCCCACUGCGUGUGUGCAGCUGUCAUUUCUGAGCAACACGUUCCUCGCAUAUCGCUGCUUCCCAACCUUGCUGAUGGUCCACCCCAGGAUCGCAACAAGAAGAGGCUGGCAUGCCACCGCACUCAGCCAAAACCUUAACGCUGUGGAUGGACCAUUCUUGAGCUUGGAGGAGGUGAUCCUGGAAAACCAGGAAGAAGCACCAGAGUGGCUGAAGAAAACCAGUAAGAAGCAGAGUGGGGCAGAAAGAAGCCAUGAGCACAGAGCAACAGGCAGAAGCUGUUAUGCACAUAAUCCAACUUCUGGGCCACCCACAGCUUCACUGCAGGAAUUAGGAAGGACUGAGUGUGUCCCACAGCAAGAGUAAAAGAAAUUGAGACUAAGAAGUAAGGAGGAUAGGUGUUUGACUUAAGGUGAGCAUGAGGAAGGAGUAGAAAAGAUGUUAAGUGUUUAAUUGUUUAUGUUCUCUCUUUCUGUUUUUUCUCAAUACUUGGAUCAGUGAUCAGAAAUUUCUGUUAAUUGGUAAUUAAUUAAAUUAAGUAAAAUUGCCCAGUUUUCGCCUGUGACGCUAGCAAGUACAGUAGUCCAACUUUCAUUUCACAGCACCACGGGCACCCUUUGGCAUAUUCUGCUUCGAUAACGUGGAGGUGCAUUAAAGUCUUUGGAAACUACAGGUAAACUCACAUUAAGACUCUUUACACUGUCCAAGUACUCUGGAGAGUUCUGGUAUAUAGCAGGGGAAAGCCAGCUGAGCUGUCGAGCCGACAGCAAGCUUUGACUACAUUAAUACAAUACUGAGUCAAAGCUGAUUAACUUUGCUGUGUGACAGAUACAUUGGUUUGAGUUUAGUGCUGCACUUCUGUAAUUGCUCAACUUCCAAACUACAUCUGUUUUAUGUCUGUUUUGGAGCCAUGGAGCAGAUGCAUGAAGGACUGCACCCAUCUCUAGAUAUUUUGUGCUCGGUAUGUCUCUACCAUGCUUUGAGCAUGAACUGCUGUGUGUUUGCACUGUGAGGGAGUAAAAUUCUGCUCUCAUCUGAC